ensembl:lncRNA
UAUACUGCAGCGUAUAAGCUAAGGUGAACUUAUUACAUUAAUGAGGCAGUUAAAGGUUGUAAACCUUGAAUGGAGAAAGUGCGGGACGUCCUGCUAAUUGUGGUUUACUAACGUUGUCUUUAUUUGGAGCUGCUGUAGUCACUGAGGGAUCAUACCAGAGUGAAUUUCAAAGAUUCCCUAACGUCUACCAAGGCUUUUUGUCCAGUUUUCUCCUGUGAAAAAAACAAUGAGGAAACACGUUGCCCUCCUGCUCAUUCUUUUCCCCGUGUGUGGACAUCUGCUGGACAUCAAGUUUUAUAAUGACCCUUACAAGUAUACCUGGGCAGAGGCAGAAGCAUUCUGCAGGGAGCACCACACUGACUUGGUCCAAGUGAGAACUGCAGAAGAGAAUACGGCUUUACAAUUCUCUGGAUGGAUAGGUUUGUCCCGGAAGGAUGCAACGAGUCCAUGGAAUUGGUCCAGAGGAGGCGAAAUAACCAUCUUCACACAAUGGGAUGGUGGUGCACCAAAAAAUGAUGAAAACUGUGUGAACAGAAAAAGCGACGGAAAAUGGGAAAGCAAGAAGUGUGAUGAAAAAAUAAAUUUUCUAUGUUAU